rnacentral:snoRNA from 1 species
CGAUGCUGUGAUGACUCAAACCAGUAAAGCCAGUUCUGCUUCUGAUUAUUAUUGAAGAGAACGCUGGAAGCACUUUCUGAGCAUCG